GACAAACGCUGGCGGCAUGCCUAACACAUGCAAGUCGAACGGACGGAGGCAAGGAACUCUUCGGAGGGAAUUGCCCGAGUUAGUGGCGGAUGGGUGAGUAACGCGUGGGGAACCUACCUCGUAGAGGGGAAUAAUAGUUGGAAACGACUACUAAUACCGCAUAAUGUACAAAGCUCGCAUGAGCCUUGUAAGAAAGAUGGCCUCUGAACAUGCUAUCGCUAUGAGAUGGACCCGCGUCUGAUUAGCUAGUUGGUAAGGUAACGGCUUACCAAGGCGAUGAUCAGUAGCCGGCCUGAGAGGGUGAACGGCCACAUUGGGACUGAGACACGGCCCAAACUCCUACGGGAGGCAGCAGUGGGGAAUCUUCCGCAAUGGGCGAAAGCCUGACGGAGCAAUGCCGCGUGAGUGAAGAAGGCCUUCGGGUUGUAAAGCUCUAUCCUUGUCCAAGAGAGCAGACUGUAGUAACUGACAGACUGAGGACGGUAGACAAGAAGAGACUGAYUWAUG
rnacentral:rRNA from 1 species